AUUGAACGCUGGCGGCAGGCCUAACACAUGCAAGUCGAGCGGAGCGGCAGACGGGUGAGGAAUGCCUAGGAAUCUGCAUGGUAGUGGGGGAUAAGGUCCGGAAACGGGCGCUAAUACAGCAUACUAUCAGAUGAGGCUAGGCCGGAUUAGCUAGUUGGUGGGGUAAAGGCCUACCAAGGCGACGAGCCGUAACUGGUCUGAGAGGAUGAUCAGUCACACUGGAACUGGGCACCGGUCCAGACUCCUACGGUAGGCAGCAGGGGGGAAUAUUGGACAAUGGGCGAAAGCCUGAUCCAGCCAUGCCGCGUGUGUGAAGAAGGUCUUCGGAUUGUAAAGCACUUUAAUUUGAGAGGCGUUACCAACAGAAUAAGCACCGGCUAACUUCGUGCCAGCAGCCGCGGUAAUUC
rnacentral:rRNA from 1 species